rnacentral:rRNA from 1 species
GUCGAGAAUCUUUCACAAUGGGGGCAACCCUGAUGGAGCGACGCCGCGUGGAGGAUAAGGUCUUCGGAUUGUAAACUCCUGUCAUGCGUGAACAAGGUUGCUUGGAUAAUACCUGAGCAAAUUGAUGGUAGCGCAAGAGGAAGAGACGGCUAACUCUGUGCCAGCAGCCGCGGUAAUACAGAGGUCUCAAGCGUUGUUCGGAAUCACUGGGCGUAAAGGGUGCGUAGGUGGCGUGGCAAGUCAGAUGUGAAAGCCCGGGGCUCAACCUCGGAACUGCAUCCGAUACUGCCAUGCUAGAGUACUGGAGGGGUGACUAGAAUUCUCGGUGUAGCAGUGAAAUGCGUAGAUAUCGAGAGGAAUACCAAAGGCGUAGGCAGGUCACUGGACAGUUACUGACACUGAGGCACGAAGGCCAGGGGAGCGAACGGGAUUAGAAACCCCUGUAGUCC